AUUGAACGCUGGCGGCAUGCUUUACACAUGCAAGUCGAACGGCAGCGCGGGCUUCGGCCUGGCGGCGAGUGGCGAACGGGUGAGUAAUACAUCGGAACGUGCCCAGUAGUGGGGGAUAGCCCGGCGAAAGCCGGAUUAAUACCGCAUACGACCUGAGGGUGAAAGCGGGGGACCGAAAGGCCUCGCGCUAUUGGAGCGGCCGAUGUCGGAUUAGCUAGUUGGUGGGGUAAGGGCUUACCAAGGCGACGAUCCGUAGCUGGUCUGAGAGGACGACCAGCCACACUGGGACUGAGACACGGCCCAGACUCCUACGGGAGGCAGCAGUGGGGAAUUUUGGACAAUGGGGGCAACCCUGAUCCAGCCAUGCCGCGUGCGGGAAGAAGGCCUUCGGGUUGUAAACCGCUUUUGUUCGGGAAGAAAUCCUCUGGGCUAAUACCCCGGGGGGAUGACGGUACCGGAAGAAUAAGCACCGGCUAACUACGUG
rnacentral:rRNA from 1 species